AAUCACCUCACAUGUGAUUCAGAUAUAUUGAUUCAAAUACAUUCUGAAAGACAGCCUGAAUCACUUUUUUCUACAUUUUUAGGGUCUUUUAGAUUAGGAUUCUCUGUCGUUAAUGUUAAAAAAUAACAACUGCAAGUGAUUGCCGAAUAUUGUGUAGAAGUCUUCCACUCGAAAUCUGAAAUGUCAAGGACAAGAAAAAAUAAAUCAAUUCAACCACAUAUAACUAAGCUCCGUAUUUAGUCACCAUCAAAAAUCCUGUCUUUACCCACUGUCUAUUAACUUUUUACAUAAUUGUCUAAAAAGCUGUCUGUUCUUCUUCAUCCUCCGCCCCAGUGUCCCCUCCUCAGCUGUCCUCUCAGUGUCUGUCCCAUGGAGAGAUGAGGGUGUCCUGCUCCUCUGAGGGUGACGCUCCCCAAUACAGCUGAACUCUGGAUGGACAGAUGCCGAGAGACAGUGAGGACUGUCCUUGUUACGGAAGAAGCACCAUCACUCCGAGGAAAGGCCCGCCUGCAGCUCUUACCUGCACCAUCAGGAACCAGAUCAGAAGUGUUGACAUCGGAAAGACAAUGUCACCUUAUCUAGUGGGGCAAAGAUAUCAGACUGGAUGAUCACCACUGGAUGUCCCCAUCAGCAAGACAAUCAUGCAAACAUCUCAGAUGAAGUCGCUCUCUUUUGCUCCGUCCAGGGUACCAGAGGACGCAAUGGAGGCUUAAUGCAUGGUGACCUCCUAUAAUGCUACACAGAACAUGUCGUGUUACGGAGCUCUGGGAGGAACUGUCUAUCUCCAGCUGAUGAAUGAUGCCACAGGAUCCAAACUCAAAUUCAAAAAAGACCCCACUGGUGCAAGUACAGAGAUAUUCAAAAUAAAACAAAACAAAACAAAAUAAUCCAUGAAUUCAUUAAAGCAAGACCAGAGUUCUUCAUCAAUAACGGGGCAUUUCAAAUAAAUAACAUAGAGAGGAGUGAUCCUGCUGAAUACUGUUUUGAAAUCUUUAAUUCAGAUACUUGGAGACCAGAGGAGUACCACUGAUCAUUGGAGGUCAGGAUCUUAAAAAACUCACAUCUAUUUGCCAAAUAAGAAUAUUCCAAAGAAGCCAAAUGCAAUUUAUAUUGAAAGAUUGAACGUUGUCAUGCAUGAUUUGUGAGGGACUGUGUCAAAUUAAUUAUAAAUCUCUGAACACAUGUUUUUGGGGGGUUAAAUACACCUUUGAAGGCUUACCCACAGUAACCCUCAUGUGUGGUCUACAGCUUAUCAUGAGAUACUCUACCUCAAGUGAGAAAAACCUUGAAACUUCCUUAAUAUUAGAUUUGGGGCACCAGCUGUUGUUUACGAAUACACACAGACCGUCACCUCUUGUCUUACCGGAGGCAGAUGUUCUAUCUUGCCAUUGCAGCGUACAUCCCGCCAGCUGUAUUUUAUCAAUGUCGUCGUUCAGCCAUGACUCGGUGAAACAUUUGCUACUGCAGAUUUUAAUGUCCCGUUGGUAGGAUAUUCGUUAUUGUAGCUCGUCUAUUUUGUUAUCCAAUGAUUGUACUUUGGCAAAUAGGACUGAUACUGGUACUGUUACUGUAACAAAUUAUAUUAUUCAUUUUCCCAUAUUACUGUUUAUAUUUCAUGAAAUUCACUACUGAGGGUACAUUCUUUACCUAAAUAAAUAACCCAA